UCACCUAAUGAGACCUUCAUAUUAGGCCCACCUGCCCAGUGAUAUUUAACGGCCGCAGUACCCUGACUGUGCAAAGGUAGUAUAUAAAACGCCUCCUAAUUAGAGGAUAUUACAAAUGAUCACACACAAAUUACCUGUCUCUAAUCCUCACCCUCAAACUUAUAUACAAGUGCAAAAGCUUGUAUUAUUUAAAAAGACAAAAAGUCCCUCGGAACUUUCAUUAUGGUAUUUAUCUUAAAUUUCACAAUUUUAAUUGGGGAAAUUUAUAUUUUAAACAAUAUAUAUAUCUACGAUCCUCUCUAUACUUAUCUAUCAUACAAAUUUUAGUAAGCUACCCGAGGGAUAACAGGCUAAUAUUUUUCAAGAGUCCAUAUCUACAACAAUAAUUAGCACCUCGAUGUUGGCUUAGGGCAUCUAUUCCAAGCACAAAUGAAAUAAGUGGGUUUGUUCAACCCUUAAUCCCCU
rnacentral:rRNA from 1 species